rnacentral:misc_RNA from 1 species
AAGUCGUAACAAGGUCUCCGUAGGUGAACCUGCGGAGGGAUCAUUAAUGAGUGAUGGGCUUCGGCCCGACCUCCAACCCUUUGUCUUACCGACCAUGUUGCCUCGGGGGUGGCCCUGCCCUGCGCUUGGCCCCCCCGGUGGACCACUAAACUCUGCAUCACCUUUGCGUCUGAGUAUUUAUAUUAAUAAAUUAAAACUUUCAACAACGGAUCUCUUGGUUCUG